rnacentral:rRNA from 1 species
GAUGAACGCUGGCGGCGUGCCUAAUACAUGCAGGUCGAGCGAACAGACGAGGAGCUUGCUCCUCUGACGUUAGCGGCGGACGGGUGAGUAACACGUGGAUAACCUACCUAUAAGACUGGGAUAACUUCGGGAAACCGGAGCUAAUACCGGAUAAUAUAUUGAACCGCAUGGUUCAAUAGUGAAAGACGGUUUUGCUGUCACUUAUAGAUGGAUCCGCGCCGCAUUAGCUAGUUGGUAAGGUAACGGCUUACCAAGGCAACGAUGCGUAGCCGACCUGAGAGGGUGAUCGGCCACACUGGAACUGAGACACGGUCCAGACUCCUACGGGAGGCAGCAGUAGGGAAUCUUCCGCAAUGGGCGAAAGCCUGACGGAGCAACCCCGCGUGAGUGAUGAAGGUCUUCGGAUCGUAAAACUCUGUUAUUAGGGAAGAACAAAUGUGUAAGUAACUAUGCACGUCUUGACGGUACCUAAUCAGAAAGCCACGGCUAACUACGUG